rnacentral:rRNA from 1 species
ACGGCUCACCAAGGCGAUGAUGGGUAGCUGGUCUGAGAGGAUGAUCAGCCACACUGGGACUGAGACACUGCCCAGACUCCUACGGGAGGCUGCAGUCGAGAAUCAUUCGCAAUGGGCGAAAGCCUGACGAUGCGACGCCGCGUGAGCGAUUAAGGCCUUCGGGUUGUAAAGCUCUGUCGCGUGGGACGAAUGGUAAUUAGGUCAAUAUCCUUUUUAUUUGACGGUACCAUGUAAGGAAGCCUCGGCUAACUCCGUGCCAGCAGCCGCGGUAAUACGGAGGAGGCAAGCGUUGUUCGGAUUUAUUGGGCGUAAAGGGCGUGUAGGCGGUUAUGUAAGUCAGACGUGAAAUCCCUCUGCUUAACAGAGGAACUGCGUUUGAAACUGCAUAACUUGAGAUCAGAAGAGGAGAGCGGAAUUCUUGGUGUAAGAGUGAAAUCUGUAGAUAUCAAGAGGAACACCGGUGGCGAAGGCGGCUCUCUGGUCUGAUACUGACGCUGAGGCGCGAAAGCUAGGGGAGCGAACGGGAUUAGAUACCCCGGUAGUCCUAGCCGUAAACGAUGGACACUAGGUGUGGGGGGUUAAUACCUUCUGUGCCGAAGUUAACGCAUUAAGUGUCCCGCCUGGGGAGUACGACCGCAAGGUUGAAACUCAAAGGAAUUGACGGGGGCCCGCACAAGCGGUGGAGCAUGUGGUUUAAUUCGAUGUUACGCGAAGAACCUUACCAGGACUUGACAUGCUGGAAGUAGAAACCCGAAAGGGUAACCACUCGUAUCCAGUCGAGAGCCAGCACAGGUGCUGCAUGGCUGUCGUCAGCUCGUGUCGUGAGAUGUCGGGUUAAGUCCUAUAACGAGCGCAACCCUUGUCCUUAGUUGCAACCUGCAUUUAUGCUGGGCACUCUAAGGAGACUGCCGUAGUUUAAUACGGAGGAAGGUGGGGAUGACGUCAAGUCAGUAUGGUCCUUACGUCCUGGGCUACACACGUGCUACAAUGGCCUGUACAAAGGGUUGCCAAACCGUGAGGUGGAGCCAAUCCCAAAAAGCAGGCCCCAGUUCAGAUUGAAGGCUGCAACUCGCCUUCAUGAAGUCGGAAUCGCUAGUAAUCCUGGAUCAGCUAUGCCAGGGUGAAUACGUUCCCGGGCCUUGUACACACCGCCCGUCAAGUCACCCGAGUUGGAUGCACCCGAAGCCACUGUUCUAACCCUUAGGGGAAGUAGGUGUCGAAGGUGUGUUUGGUAAGGGGGGCUAAGUCGUAACAAGGUA